UUUUGUGCAUUAACCUAAGCAUAUUUAGCACUUUAAUAACCCCAAACAUGUCCUCACUGCAGCCUAUAGCCUUCACAAAUGUUAAAUCAGGAUCUUACCUUAACCUCGAGCGCUCUUGGUUUGGAGAACUUCAAUUGAUGCGAGUUUUCAUCCCUUUCCACAAAACAGCGUCUCAGGAAGAGCUCAAUAAUUACAUAAAUAAAACAACAAUCUAAAGAGCAACUUUUCUUUUUCUCUGGACACCUCACAUGCAGUCUGGUUAGGACUUUGACCGAUCUCUAUCUUGUUGUGGGGAGUCCUAUCAUGGUGGAAGGGAAGGAGGCUGAGGUGAUGAUUGUAAAGUUCAACAAGGGCAUUGAUUUCUGGUACGCACCGUGCAACGUGAACAAGAAUCAUGAAAUUCACCUGAAGGCAGAGGCUCUGCUCGUGAGAGUGUCCGAUCAAGAGCUGCUUCCUGCCACCGACACUGAAGUGGAAAUCUCGAGUGCGAGCUUUUUAUACAUACUAAAGAGUCCGACUUGUUCCUCCACACAGCAGCCAAAGAUAAACAUGACCUUCACAUAAAAUGAUGGCUGACAUUCGGAGCAUCACCUCCUCCUUCUUGCGUUAACACCCCUGCAGCUACCAUUUGGAGCCUGUCCAGGUCCCCCGGGCUGUUUCCCACGAGAUGCAGUUUGUGUUGAACCAGCUUUCACUUUCUGGAACGACACUGCGCUACCGUGUUUACUGGAGCUGCCGCUCUGAUGUUGGAGUACUACUCCAUAAACACUGGAGCUGAACAGGAAGCUGAUGUCACAAACGGAGCAGAAGAGGAUGAAGGUGGAGAAGCUUAAGGAGCUGCUUAAUUGUUUCUGCAUCACUUUGUAAUACUUACUUUUCUACAGCUUUAUUUAAUUAUGUUGGUGGUACGGAAUGUGUUAUUCAGUAUUGUCAUGACAACAGCCGUUCUUUGUGUUUCUUGUUUCAUCUUUAUUUCUGUUUUCCUUUAUUGUUACACUUUAGUGUAUGUGCAUAUACAGUAGUGUGUAUUGUUGGGUUUUCUCUACAUACACUUCAACACUCAGCUGCCGUCGUGUCCAGUCACAACGAUAUUUUAUUCUGUCAGAAAUAUCCAUAUAGCCUACAGUAUGUCAAUGUUACCGUCACUUAGCACUAAACAUCCUGAACUAAUCCCUUUGUGGCAAACAGCCUCUGUUAGCUAAUGCUCCCUGAAUUAUACAAGUUCAAUAAUUGUCAUAAAUAGUAUAUCACAUACUUCUGGCUCCUAUGAUAAAAUGUAUAUUAUCUUUAAAAAAACGAGUCACGGAGCUACAUUGGAUUUAAUCCUCACUAGUUUUAUGCAUUGAUACUUUUGAUCUUACAGUCCAAAUCUUUUUUCAGUAGUUUGUUAGACACCACAUUUAAGCGUAUCACUAAUCUCAAUCCAGUUAAAAAAAAGUUUUUCUUAUCAACGAUUGAACGAUAACAAAGCACAUAUUCAUGUCUACUUUGUCAUAAGUCAAUUUUCCUUUAAAUGUUUUUCAAAUGGAGCCCUGCAGAUAGCCGUGGGGCCACAGCCAGUACUUCUCAGCUCAAUUACUCAAAAGAAUAUGUGCGCCACUUGCCUGGAGAGGGUACUAAACGUACUUUAUUGCUCUUUAAUAAUUGCUUUUCAACAUUGUUAUCUUAAUGCAGCCCCUUUUUAUGCGAUCUGAGAAAAUACCAUUUACUAGCUCUCGGGAGCAGAGUGACAAUUCUUAGAUGUGAUGUGCCUUGCCACCUAUGUGCCCGUCUGUCUCUCUCCUGCUGUUUGGCUCCUUUAUGAGGCCUGAUUCAUUGGCAGGCUGUAGCCAUAUGAUAUUAAUAGAUCACUUUGCAGCAGGGAUGGCUUUCUUGUGUGUUAUGCUCAGUAAGUAUUAUGUUCCUGGACAAUGAUUCUCAAAAAAAGGCAUUCCUCUGACUGACACUUCAUAACUGCAGAUCUUGUACAUUUAGCUGAGUUCCUUUAUACUCUGCUAGUUCUUGGUGUUACAACCCAAACUUGCGCCUUGUGUUCAAGGUCACAAUGUAUAGCUGCAUGUAGAGGGACUUCAUGCAUAAUGUAUACAAUAGUGCAUUCAUUGCUAAUUAGCACUAACAGGAAAGGAUGCCCCCUGAUUUCCCCUGAUUUUAGUCUCAUUUGCAUAAAUAUAAUGGGGCACAAGAGAGUGUGAAGCCCAACGUCUGUCCUCCCCUAGGGGAGGAGGAGAGGUGUUACUGGGAUCUGGGUGCACAAGUGAUAAUUGUUAGAGAUCUGUUUUUCUGACGCCCAGUGCAUGAAAUAGACGGUGUAAAGUGAACAAAGAGACUGUGGCUAGCAAACAAAUGCACCAUGAACCUGAAACGGACGCAACGGAAAGAUGAAGCUCUUG